rnacentral:rRNA from 1 species
GGCUCAGAACGAACGCUGGCGGCGUGCCUAACACAUGCAAGUCGAGCGAGAAAGGGUAGCAAUACCUGAGUAAAGCGGCGCACGGGUGAGUAACACGUGACUAACCUACCUCCGAGUGGGGAAUAACCUGGGGAAACCCGGGCUAAUACCGCAUAACACCUACGGGUCAAAGGAGCAAUUCGCUUGGAGAGGGGGUCGCGGCAGAUUAGCUAGUUGGCGGGGUAAUGGCCCACCAAGGCGAUGAUCUGUAUCCGGCCUGAGAGGGCGCACGGACACACUGGAACUGAAACACGGUCCAGAGAUCCUACGGGAGGCAGCAG